GGGGAUGCAGCUCAGUGGCAGAGCAUGUGCUUAGUACGCACAAGGUCCUGGGUUCAAUCCCCAGCACCACUA